UACGGAGGGUGCAAGCGUUAUCCGGAUUCACUGGGUUUAAAGGGUGCGUAGGUGGGCAGGUAAGUCAGUGGUGAAAUCUCCGGGCUUAACCCGGAACUGCCGUUGAUACUAUUUGUCUUGAAUAUUGUGGAGGUAAGCGGAAUAUGUCAUGUAGCGGUGAAAUGCUUAGAUAUGACAUAGAACACCAAUUGCGAAGGCAGCUUACUACACAAUGAUUGACACUGAGGCACGAAAGCGUGGGGAUCAA
rnacentral:rRNA from 1 species